UACGUAGGCAGCAAGCGUUGUUCGGAAUUACUGGGCGUAAAGAGUGUGUAGGCGGUGUUCCAAGUCUGGUGUGAAAUCUCCCGGCUUAACUGGGAGGGUGCAUUAGAAACUGGAAUGCUAGAGGAUGGGAGAGGUAAGCGGAAUUCCUGGUGUAGCGGUGAAAUGCGUAGAUAUCAGGAGGAACACCCGUGGCGAAAGCGGCUCUCUGGGACGGUACUGACGCUGAGACGCGAAGGCGUGGGGAGCAAACAGG
rnacentral:rRNA from 1 species